rnacentral:rRNA from 1 species
GCUGAAAGAUGGGCUCGCGUCUGAUUAGAUAGUUGGUGGGGUAACGGCCUACCAAGUCGACGAUCAGUAGCCGGGUUGAGAGACUGACCGGCCACAUUGGGACUGAGAUACGGCCCAGACUCCUACGGGAGGCAGCAGUGGGGAAUAUUGGGCAAUGGGGGAAACCCUGACCCAGCAACGCCGCGUGAAGGAAGAAGGCCUUCGGGUUGUAAACUUCUUUUACCAGGGACGAAGGACGUGACGGUACCUGGAGAAAAAGCAACGGCUAACUACGUGCCAGCAGCCGCGGUAAUACGUAGGUUGCAAGCGUUGUCCGGACUUACUGGGUGUAAAGGGCGUGUAGGCGGAGGCGCAAGUUGGGAGUGAAAUCUAUGGGCUCAACCCAUAAACUGCUCUCAAAACUGUGCCCCUUGAGUAUCGGAGAGGCAAGCGGAAUUCCUAGUGUAGCGGUGAAAUGCGUAGAUAUUAGGAGGAACACCAGUGGCGAAGGCGGCUUGCUGGACGACAACUGACGCUGAGGCGCGAAAGCGUGGGGAGCAAACAGGAUUAGAUACCCUGGUAGUCCACGCUGUAAACGAUGAAUACUAGGUGUGGGAGGACUGACCCCUUCCGUGCCGCAGUUAACACAAUAAGUAUUCCACCUGGGGAGUACGACCGCAAGGUUGCAACUCAAAUGAAUUGACGGA